rnacentral:rRNA from 1 species
GACGAACGCUGGCGGCGUGCCUAAUACAUGCAAGUUGAGCGCUGAAGGUUGGUACUUGUACCAACUGGAUGAGCAGCGAACGGGUGAGUAACGCGUGGGGAAUCUGCCUUUGAGCGGGGGACAACAUUUGGAAACGAAUGCUAAUACCGCAUAAAAACUUUAAACACAAGUUUUAAGUUUGAAAGAUGCAAUUGCAUCACUCAAAGAUGAUCCCGCGUUGUAUUAGCUAGUUGGUGAGGCAAAGGCUCACCAAGGCGAUGAUACAUAGCCGACCUGAGAGGGUGAUCGGCCACAUUGGGACUGAGACACGGCCCAAACUCCUACGGGAGGCAGCAGUAGGGAAUCUUCGGCAAUGGACGAAAGUCUGACCGAGCAACGCCGCGUGAGUGAAGAAGGUUUUCGGAUCGUAAAACUCUGUUGGUAGAGAAGAACGUUGGUGGGAGUGGAAAGCUCAUCAAGUGACGGUAACUACCCAGAAAGGGACGGCUAACUACGUG